rnacentral:SRP_RNA from 1 species
GCCUGGCAUGGUAGCGUGUGCCUGUAGUCCCAGCUACUCUGGAGGCUGAGGUAGGAGGAUGGCUUGAACCCAGGAGUUUGAGGCUGCAGUGAGCUAAGAUUGUGCCUCUGCACUCCAGCCUGGGUGAUAGAGCAAGACCCUGUCUCUG